rnacentral:RNase_MRP_RNA from 1 species
CCCUCGGUCGACAAAUCGCCAUUCGAAGCCUACGCACGGAGACAUUCGCCCCUUGGGCAGCGUCUCACCACAAUUAUGCUUUGGGAGAAAGUCCCCGGACGACUCCGUUUCGGAGCCUGCGGAAACGCGCCGCCAUAGAAGCACUGCGGCUUACCUCGGCUCCUUUGGCCCUCGCGUCGACUUCCUGCCCUGCCCGCCGCCACAUCUGCCUUGCGCGACCCCCUCGUUGGCCCUUGGUCGUACGUCUCCGGCCCUCUUGGAUGAAGAUACGAGUCCGUGCUGGAUGGCGUGCGACUGGGACUUCCGGCAGGGGGGCACAGCGCUUGCAGAUGGCGGGUGGACGCCUGGGGGGUCUUCGAGAGUGGUGUCGGGCGCCGAGGACUGUUGUCGAAAUCGAUAGGUAUGCGAUUGCCUGGCGCAAGCUAGGUUACCCGAUGGGGCUUAUUCUUGAGGCGAGG